rnacentral:rRNA from 1 species
GGGUUGUGAGGUUAAGCGACUAAGCGUACACGGUGGAUGCCCUGGCAGUCAGAGGCGAUGAAGGGCGUGCUAAUCUGCGAUAAGCGCCGGUAAGGUGAUAUGAACCGUUAUAACCGGCGAUACCCGAAUGGGUAAAUCCAGUGUGACUCGUCACACUAUCUUUAACUGCAUCCAUAGGUUCAUGAUGCGAACCGGGGGAACUGAAACAUCUAAGUAC